AAGAGUUUUCGAGUGUUGCAGGCUCAUGGGUGUGCACCACAACUCUACUGUACCUUCAAUAAUGGACUAUGCUAUGAAUUUAUACAAGGAGAAGCACUGGAUCCAAAGCAUGUCUGCAACCCAGCCAUUUUCAGGCUAAUAGCUCGUCAGCUUGCUAAAAUCCAUGCUAUUCAUGCACACAAUGGCUGGAUCCCCAAAUCUAAUCUUUGGCUAAAGAUGGGAAAGUAUUUCUCUCUCAUUCCCACAGGAUUUGCAGAUGAAGACAUUAAUAAAAGGUUCCUAAGUGAUAUCCCAAGCUCUCAGAUUCUCCAGGAAGAGAUGACUUGGAUGAAGGAGAUUCUUUCCAACCUGGGCUCACCUGUUGUGCUUUGCCAUAAUGACCUAUUGUGUAAGAAUAUAAUCUACAAUGAGAAACAAGGUAGGUAUUUGACCUUAGCAGUA
rnacentral:sRNA from 1 species